GCCAAAGCGACUUAUUGGCAACACCGAAUGGACCGACGCUUCGCAAGCGGGGGUCAUGGGUUCGAAUCCCAUAGGAG
rnacentral:tRNA from 1 species